CCAGAGGGAGAAGAAGAGCAGUGGGUGGGAUCUGAGCCCCUACCUCCUCCUGGUAACAGGAGUUUAAACUUUUUACAAUUGCUUCCUGAGUUAAUUUUUAACCUGCACAACUAGUUUCAGGACUGUCCAAUCCCAGGUCCUCAGUCUCCAAUGACUAAGCUGCCCUCCUGUACCCUGUGAAAUUUGCACCCCUUCUGUAACCAGGGGCCUUUCCUGCCCAGAGAGGGAUCCCCAGGGCCUGAGGGAUGGACUCUGGGGAGUGAGAGCUGACCUGUUGGCUGUGUUUCCCUCCUGGUUAUCUGUGCUUCCACAGGGUGCUGAACCUUGUGGCUGCUUCUGCUUACACUUUGGGUGUCCCUCCUGUGCUUCUCGCACCUGUUCCUGGGUGACUGAGUGGGGCCUGGAGAGUUACCCUGCUCUCACAGAGGCAAAGGUCUCUGGGGGUCCUUCCCAUUGGGAGGUUUGGGGUGAUAGACCAGGAUGCAAGAAAAGACCACUGACUCCAAUUAAAAUCAAAUUAAAGCAAGCUUAUUAUUUCGACUGGCCUGGCUGCUUCUCCCUCCCAAAACAUCGGGAACAAGACAGCACCCCACCUGAAAGGAAAGUGACCACAACACUCGGAACAACCAAAAGAUCUUUAUUGCAGCAGUGCAACAAAGAGAAAGGAAGGAAGGAAAGAGAGAGAAAAGAGAAGAGAUGAACAGGGAGAGAGCAAGAGCAAGAGAGAGACAGAGAGCACGCGUAAGAAAGAUAAAGAGCAAGAGAGAGAGAGCAAGAGAGAGAGAGCAAGAGAGAGGGGGCCUGGCAGGAGGGAGUUUUUAUAGCCCAAAUCUAAUGGGGCCUCUGGGUCUGCAA
rnacentral:lncRNA from 1 species